CACCUCUCUCUCUGUCUCUAGGAGCUUAAUAAAAAGGAUCAAGAUGAAUCAUACUGAUGAGGAGGUGAGUGGUGAAACUCGAGGAGAAUGCAGAAACAAGGUCAUGUAUUAAUUAUAUCAGAAGGAGGAAAUUAUAGAACAUUAGAAAUGUCUAGAAAAUAGGCAGAAUUGGUACAGGAAUUUUGGCUUAUUAGGCUUGUUAAUAUCUGUGUAUCUUUGUCCCAAGACCCAGCUUCUCUUGGGGAAGGACAAUCCUCUCCAACUGAGCUCAGGGCUCCUCAAAGGGGUGAGGAAAGGAGACACCCGCCCAGACAAUCAAAUUGCCUUCAGUAGGGAGCAGGUGAGGCUGCCAGGUCACCACCAGGUCGCCAGCUCACUCUCAAAUUCCAGCCACGUGGUCAAGAGCCAUUAGGGGAAAAUUAAAAUGGAUAUUUCAUAAAGAUGUUUUGGUGAUGCAUUAUCUUUGACAGACCUUAAGGACUAUUCCUAGAUUAACUCAGGUGAAGUCAACUCACACAAGCUCACCUGGAAAUAGGUGAGAGCGAUUUUAAGUUAGAGAGCAUCCGUGAGCUGCCCGAAGACAGUGCUUCUCAGAAUUUAAGGUGGGGCUUUAUUCAAAUGCAGAUCCCGAGUAAGUACUGCUAACAACUUCCCCGGUGCUGAAGCUGCUGGUCCGUGGAACAGCCCGGAGGAGCCGGUUACCAGAGUUUUAUCUCUGCUUCCUGGUCACCGUGCUGAGACACCGACAGCCCACCAGCCAUUCUGUCUUUCCGCUUAGGCUCCUCCCGUCCUGUCACCCGGCCUAACCCAUCACACGCCAUGUGCUCCAGGCCCAUGAGGACCAGAGACCCCCUCAGGGAAAGAAAAUGCUCAUUCCUCUGUAACCUGCAUAUACGCCAGGGUCACGUGUGGGCCUGUCCCUGUACAGUACUGCAGUCGAGGAAAAGAAGCCGCCAACUGAAUUCAAAGCAAGUGGUGUUUUCUGAAGAAUUUCCAAUUUGUCAAACACAGCAAUAUUUCUUCAAGUCUUCCUUCCUCGUUUCUGUCGCUCCCAGCUUUCCUCGUAACCCCCACAGCUGCCCAGAUGUCUCUGCCUUCUCCUCUCCCUCUAGAUCUCACCCCACAAUUCUUGAAACUGAACACGCUUGACUCCCAAUUCCUUCAUCUCUCCCCGCACAUCCCUGUAUCUCUUCUUUUCUUCCUUCCUAGUAAAAUUUCCCCUCUUGCUUCUUGUGUAUCCAUCCCACGCAUGGUCCUGAUUAUCCAGCUGCAGAACGAGGCCUAGGAGGAGAGCUGGCGGAAUCCUAGUCUCAUCUAGGAGAUGGGGUCGCAGGGGAGGUGCGGGGUGGGGUAGAUGGGGCACUGUGGAAGGCCAUGGUGGUGAGAAAUCUAGACAUCAAAGACAGAGUUUUCAUAGGGGUGGUGGGGAGGUAGGAAGAGGAAAGGACUGUGAGUAUUUAUAAUUUAGCAUCUUUUCCAUCCCAUCAUACCUCCAAGCACAUUUGCUGGUCCAUUGAUCUUAGUUGGCUUGGCCUCUAAAAGAUUCCUCCUCCUUUGGUCCCUAUAUUAGUUUCCUAGGGCAGCCAUAACAAAUUACCAUAAACUAGGGCGCUUAAAACCAUAGAAAUUUCUUCUCUCGCAAUUCUGGAGCCUAGAAGUCUGAAGACAAGGUGUUUGCUGGUCCACGCUCUCUCUAGGAAGGAUCCUUCCUUGCCUCUUCCCAGCUUCUGGUGGUGGCCAGCAAUCCUUGGUGUUCCUUGGAUUGUAGAUGCAGCACUCUGAUCUUUGCCUCAUUUCCACGUGGCCAUCUCCCCUCCGUGUGUCUCUGUGUUCACAUUUCUCUCUCCUCGUAAGGACACCAGUCACUGGAGGAAGCCCCCCACUAAUCCAGUAUGGCCUCACCUUAAAUUGAUUACAUCUGCCAAGGGUCUGUUUCCAAGUGAGGUCACAACCACAGGUUUGGGGGGGACAUUGUUCAGCCCAGUGCAGCCCCCAGGUAUCUUUGUCCUGAUGCUCCCAGACCUUUGACUGCAGGUUCUCCCCUGGAAUGCAGCAGAGAGGAGCAAAGAGAGGAUAAAAGGGAGACAAGUCCCAAAUAAAGAGAAACAUAAGGGGACA
rnacentral:lncRNA from 1 species